rnacentral:lncRNA from 1 species
CCCAUUGUAUACCAAACUUCUCAUUGAGUUAACCUCUGAGGAGUCCUUUGAUUCUUCUUCUUCUGGAUCAGUGAGAGACCCUAAAACAGUAAACAACUGAUUCCUUUGCUCGCAUGGUCCCUCCUCUAUCACAGGAACAGUUCUUGACCUGGAGAAACAACAAAAGUAUGAGAUUUUUGUUGACCCAUGAAAGGAAAGAGCUAAGCUUUGGGACCUGUGUUGAAGAGCCGAUGUAGGAAACAGCUACGCUAUGAUUAUCAUCUUCUACGUGAGACAAUAAAAAGAUGAUAAUCAGAAACAAUUAAAUAUAAAAGAGCCAAAUUAACAGAUUCGAAAAAG